GCCGCCUCCACCAUGAAAAUCGCAGGUGUCUUUGUCCUCCUCGCUCUGGCACUUCCCUGCUGCUUCUCAGAAAAGGAGUUGAUGUUAAGAAAGAACAUGAGGGAACAUGUGGGAUGUCCACGUUGGAGCCUCUCUCUCGUACUGAGGUUAUAGACCCGGAAACAUAAACUGGAAUGGUUCUUUCAGCUCUGUGUCCAUGGAAACGUUGAUCUCACUCAUUCUGACAGAGGAGACCAGGAAAUCUGUACCUCAACUUCCUCAAGAUGAUACCUGACUGACCUGCUGACAUACACGGCGUAUUUGCCUCCCUGCACGUUUCUUCAGCUUUGGGGUCUUUCCAGCUGGCUCUAAAAUUAGAGGAAAUCCUUCCCAAGAAAUCCCAGGGUCAUCUCCUCACUGUCAUGCAAACUGCAUCCCAAAGUGAACCUUAGUCACUGUAAAACUACUCACUCAUGGUCCCAAAGAGUGAGGGCUGGAGACUGUUGUAACGAUAGUCAUUGCAAAUGUUUUCAUUUUUACCUCCACUAAUUAUCUGGGAAUCAUUUUCUCUGGGGUGUGAUUGAAGAGUCUGGGAUCCGCUGAUGAAUAGCCCUAUAGGAGAAUUAAGUAUUAUGAUAAUUACGCAUUGAUUUUAAGGCAGAAGAAGGGGCCACUGUCCAUGUCUGUUCUGACCUCCUAUGAAGCACAGGCCAUAAAAAGUCACCCAGGAAAUCCUGUAGUGGAGGGAAUUUCCCCUGCCUAGAUUUAGUCUCCAGACGGGGGUCAGCUUACCCUGUUGGGAUGUUGUAGCAGGACCCUUUGCUACCCCACACCCUGCAGGCUCCGCCCACUGGCACAGGCUGCCUGACUCUCUCAUAGACUUGCACAAUGCCCGUCCCUCAGCUGCUGAAUGGUUUAGACACUCAGACUAGCGUACUUGGCUUGACUGUCUGUGUAGAUGCAAUCGUAAGACAAUAUACUCCCCACCCUGAAACACUGGUGUCUUACUGGCCCG